rnacentral:lncRNA from 13 species
CUUAAAUUUCACCGUAGUGCAGCCACUCUACUCCAACAGCAUGGGCAAUGUUAUACCAUAACAGCGUUCAGAAGAACACCAGAAUCCAUAUGGGGUUACCCAAGGACAGAUCCCCUUUCUGCAGACCAUGUCCUGCACAGCAGCUACCGCCAGCCUCCUCAUUAUCUUUUGAUAGAUUACUCAGAAUAAGCAGAGAACAGCUCAAACUCCAAAGGACCUGCAGGCCACUGACAACACUAACAGCUUUGAAUUUCCUCUCCAGCAUCAGCAAGUCCC